AAUGUUUCCUCAUAAAUGCAGAGACACAUUUAUAACCAAUGAAACUUCCUACUAAACCACAUUCGGUACAAGAGCAGCUUAGAAGAAGCUGUCUGAGGUGGUGCUAAUCUGCCUUCAAAAAUUGGAUUUAAAAAGGCUUAGUCUCUGUUUAUUCUAACCUACAUUCUGGUUUUUCCUGACUUCAUCAUCAUGAGACUAUCUCUGGUUUCACAACAUCUGCUGGUGCUCACAUCAGUCCUAUCACUCACCAGGGCACAAUCAACAACUGCACAAACAAUAUUUCCAUUAAUAACAACACAUUCUACACCCGAGACAACAACAACAACAACAUCUGCACCAAUAUCAACAACAA